UCAAUCGUCGUGCAGGAUGGACGUGUUCCGGGAUUUUUCGUCAAAAAUUAAAAUAUUUGAAGCCAUUUUUGAGCUUGGAACUGCUAAAAGCGUCAGUUGAUGAGAAAUUGGCGUGAAGCAGAAAUGGAACUUCAAGGAUGAAAAUUGAGCUUUAAAGAUCGAUUUUUAUCGAGCCCAGGUCUUCCGCUUGAGAGCUACAGUGGUCGAAUUGCAUGCGAAUUUCUGAAAAAUGGUAAAAGAUGUUGAAAUUGCUCAUUGUUGAAUGCUAGGUGAUUAAUUCAGAACAAAGUCAAGCAUAGAAACCAAAUAGACCAGGAGGAAAUGACUAAAAAUCAAAAAAGGUAAUUUUUUUGCCCAUGUAAAUUAUUUCAGAAAUAUUUUUUCGACUAUUUUCCCAAAAUUUUAACUUUAAAUGAUGAUAAAAAGCAAAAAAGUCACAGCUUGUAAUGAAAAACUUUGAUUAAAAAUUUGCUGCCUCUUCUGAAGAACUUUCCUAAAAGCCUUAAAACGUUGAAAUUUU